GACGAACGCUGGCGGCGUGCUUAACACAUGCAAGUCGAACGGAAAGGCCCUGCUUGCAGGGUACUCGAGUGGCGAACGGGUGAGUAACACGUGGGUGAUCUGCCCUGCACUUCGGGAUAAGCCUGGGAAACUGGGUCUAUUACCGGAUAGGAGCCAUUUUUAGUGUGAUGGUUGGAAAGUUUUUUCGGUGUAGGAUGAGCUCGCGGCCUAUCAGCUUGUUGGUGGGGUAAUGGCCUACCAAGGCGGCGACGGGUAGCCGGCCUGAGAGGGUGGACGGCCACAUUGGGACUGAGAUACGGCCCAGACUCCUACGGGAGGCAGCAGGGGGGAAUAUUGCACAAUGGGCGCAAGCCUGAUGCAGCGACGCCGCGUGGGGGAUGACGGCCUUCGGGUUGUAAACUCCUUUCGCUAGGGACGAAGCUUUUUGUGACGGUACCUAGAUAAGAAGCACCGGCUAACUACGUG
rnacentral:rRNA from 1 species